UUUUUUUUAAUAAAGCCCAUUGACUAGCCUCCAACUAAACAAAUUCUUUAAUUAAGUUUGACUUUUUAAAUUGUGUAUUUUUUGAAUGCCUAAACUACCCCUAUUAAUACUUGGAUGCGAUUUUUGGAUCAUUUACUUGUUUUAUCCAUUUAAUUAAUUUUAUAUAUUUUACAAAAUAAUUCAUGCCAUUCAUUGUAUAUUCAAUGUAUUAACUUUCAAAUUGUUAUAACGUGCCAAUUGAAAAAUAAUACUAUUAAUUUCAUAAUUUUGUGCAUUAAAUAUAUAAGUUAAUUUACCUACCAACACAAGAAUAAACCUAAAAUAGCUUCAGCUACUACUCCAAUCCCUAAUACACAAAACAAAAGCGAUAUGUUCCGUGCAAUUUUUACCUACAAAAUAGCCUAAUUUACCUAUUCCAUCAAACUAAAAUUUGAAGGGUCUAAUUUACUUCCAAAAUGGUCUAAUUUACCUACUCCAUCAAACCAAAAUUUAAUGGGUCUAAUUUACUUCCAAAAUGGUCUAAUUUACCUACUUGAUUUAUGUGCAUUAGAUUAAAAGUUUAUUUAAUUGCCUACAAGCACAAACCCACAACAUUGGAACAUUAUCUAAUA
rnacentral:lncRNA from 1 species